AAUUGGAGGGCAAGUCUGGUGCCAGCAGCCGCGGUAAUUCCAGCUCCAAUAGCGUAUAUUAAAGUUGUUGCAGUUAAAAAGCUCGUAGUUGAAUUUCGGGAUUGACACAUCGGUCGUGCCCUAAGGGGUAUGAACUGGUGUAGUCAAUUUCUCACCUUCUGGAGAACCGCGAUGCCCUUAAUUGGGUGUCACGGGGAACCAGGACCUUUACUUUGAAAAAAUUAGAGUGUUUAAAGCAGGCAUUUUGCUUGAAUACAUUAGCAUGGAAUAAUAAAAUAGGACGGCAUGAUUCUAUUUUGUUGGUUUCUAGGAUCACCGUAAUGAUUAAUAGGGAUAGUUGGGGGCAUUAGUAUUCAAUUGUCAGAGGUGAAAUUCUUGGAUUUAUUGAAGACUAACUACUGCGAAAGCAUUUGCCAAGGAUGUUUUCAUUAAUCAAGAACGAAAGUUAGGGGAUCGAAGACGAUCAGAUACCGUCGUAGUCUUAACCAUAAACUAUGCCGACUAGGAAUCAGACGAUGUUAAUUUUUUAAUGACUCGUUUGGCACCUUACGGGAAACCAAAGUGU
rnacentral:rRNA from 1 species